UAACUUUUCCAUUUCCUUCCUCAGUGCAUUGGCUCUCACCAAGCUCCCAAUGGUAUUCACAGCCAACUUGAGAUCCUCCAGUGGAUUUCCGGGUGCCACUGUCUUGUACAAGUAACUGUCAAAUGUCAUCUUCUGCACAUACUCAUCCGCGCACAUCUCCACGAAAGCUUCCCUUGCAGGGUUCGAUCUGUAGAAGACCUUCUGCAAUACAUCUAAUACCUUGUAGGUUGGCCAGUAUUUCUUGUCCCACUUCUCCAAGUACUUCCUCAAGUCCCCUUCAUCCACCAUCUUCUUCCCAUUCUGUGACCCCUCAACAAUCGCCUCUGCACACAUUCUCCCGCUCUUAGCUGCAAAGUAGAUACCUUCACCCGAGCAUUUCGUCACAUAUCCAGCUGCAUCCCCAACUAAGGCUACCCUCCCGGAUAACCUGCGUGGACGGGGAUGCUCGGGGAUUGGGUGUGCCUCAACUCGUAUAAUUU
rnacentral:lncRNA from 1 species